UACAGAGGUGGCAAGCGUUGUUCGGAAUUACUGGGCGUAAAGGGCGCGUAGGCGGUCUUGCAAGUCCGAUGUGAAAGCCCUGGGCUCAACCCAGGAAGUGCAUUGGAUACUGCGGAGCUUGAAUCUGGAAGAGGGUCGCGGAAUUCCCGGUGUAGAGGUGAAAUUCGUAGAUAUCGGGAGGAACACCAGUGGCGAAGGCGGCGACCUGGGCCAAGAUUGACGCUGAGGUGCGAAAGCGUGGGGAGCAAACAGG
rnacentral:rRNA from 1 species